UCAUAUCUAGGAGGAUCAUAUCUAAAGGAGCUACAGAGGAAGAAGUUAAAUGAUUGGGAAAUUCGGUUUAAAUACUACAGAGGACUAAAAAACUUUAUUUGAUGAUUUAAUGUCUGAAAUGGGAAGUUCAUCAUCUAUUUAUGCAGACGGAGAAAGUACAAGGUCGACUGCUGGACUGGAAAAACAACGACUAAACACCCAAGUUGCAGUAUUUAUCACUUAAUUAAUUUUCUUUUUCUAAAAUGUCAAUUCAGACAAAGAACACCAAAAUGAAUAAGGAAGAAGAAAAUGCCGCAUCAUUGAUUGUGUGAAACAAAUUUUCAAGUGAAUGAUUGUGGGAUUGUUGGAUUUUGAAAGACAGAAAAAAAUGCCAAAAAAAAUCUAAAUUAACAUUGGAGGGUGAUGAGGAUGAGAAAAUUAAAGAAUACAGGCUAUGAUGAAAAUGUUAGAAGCAGGUGCAAACCCAUUUGAUCCAAGAGUACUAGACGCCAUGCUCCCAUACAUGACAAACUAUUAUGGAAAUUCACGUUCAAAGACCCAUUUUAUGGAUGGGAAAGCGAAAAAGCUGUUGAACAAGCUCUUGAGCAAGCUGCAAGGCCAAUAAAUGCUGAUUCAAAAGAGAUCAUUUUCAAAUCUGGAGCCCCUGAAAGUAAUAACACAGCAACCAAAGGUGUUACACAAUUUUACAAAAUAAAAAGAAAUCAUAUAGUGACUACUCAAGCGGAACAUAAUGUGUCCUGGAUUCCUGUUGUGUUCUUGAAGGAGAAAGAUUUGAAGUAGCUUGCCUGCCUGUCCUUCUCAGUGCCAUCAGGCCGACGACUGUGUUGGUCUCGGUAAUGGGCGUAAAUAACGAAAUUGGAGUUCAACAGCCAUUGGCAGAAAUAGUACCGUCUGUCGAAAGGCCAAAUUCUAUUUCAAUUGUGAGGCAGUUCAGGCUGCAAGUAAAAUUCCCAUUUAUGUUGAGGCGAUGUCAAUUGAUCUUAUGACAAUUAGUGGACUUAGGAUUUUGUGGACUUAGUGGACAAGCUUUAUUAUGACCAAAAGGUUCCGUAAUUUGAAUGGGUCUAAGAGCGUCCCCAAGUCAAAAUGGAACUUGGAACAGCGGUUCAAGAUAAAGUCAAUGAUCAAACCAUCGUUGAAACAAAGGCCGAAAAAGAAAGUGUCUUCGAAGAUAUUCCGGAGGGCCGUUUAGGGACUCUUCGUGUUCAUAGAUCGGGGAAAGUAACUUUGCAAAUGGGAGAACAUUCAUUCGUCAUGGAUAGUGCAACGCAAGUUUCCUAUCUACAAGAUCUGAUAUCGGUUGAGGUAAAUGAAGAAUAUUGAAGUUCGAACUUCAGUAUGAUCAAACAGAAUCACAAAACUAUCACAUCGCUUGAUCGACCAGAUAGGUAAAAGCUUAACUCAUGUUAUACGAAAGGGAGAUCCUGAACACUCCUAUCCAGGUUGUGUUAACCUGUCGUUUGCCUAUGUUGAGGGUGAAAAUCUUUUGAUGGCCUUAAAAGAUGUCGCGCUAUCAAGUGGAAAUGCGUGUACUUCAGCGUCGUUACAGCCAUCUUUUGUUUUGCGAGUCAUUGGCGCCGGAAGAAAACUUAGCGCAUUCUUCUAUUCGCUUUGGAAUUGAAGGUUCAAUACCGAAGCUGAGGUUGAUUACACUACGCAAAGGUAUAUUACAUCAAGUUUCGAAACUUCGUGAAAUGAGGUAGGUUUUAAUUAGGCUUAUGCUUCUAAGCUAGCUAUCCAAGUAACAAAAAAAAAACUCAU